CCUAAGGAACUGCUGUUGUAAGCGGCUCACCAAGAGUUGAAGUUCAUGUAGCCUUGUUGGGAAUAUGGAAAAGGAAGAAAGCCACAGGACUGCCAGUUCAGUCGGGAAGAUCUCGAUGAUUCUGCACAUGCACAAAUGACUUGAAGUUUCUGUAUAGACACUUGUACCAAUCCAUCUUCAGCUGACUGAAUGUUGUAUGAUAGCCCUUCUCCAAAGCAGAGGUGGAAGGUUCUGGUUUCACCACACAUUUAUAAACACAUUUCCUUUUUUGAAUUGGCCUAUAGAUUGUAGGUCUCUUUUGUAUAUAACCUCUAUUCUUUUGCUUUAAAAAAAAAAGUCUGUUCAUAUUUAAUGCCCUGUAUUAGUCAAUGAUUUGUGUUCAACAUUAUUUGAACCAUUUGCCAUUAACGAAAGAGAAAUACUUAUUUGUGUUUUAAAUAAAACUGAUAUAGGAAAAAAAAUAAAAAAAGAA
rnacentral:lncRNA from 1 species